UUUUAAUUAUCUCAUUAUCUGUAGCCAUGAGAAAGUCUGAUUUAUCCAGACAGGAGAUCUGGGGAGUCAGAUAUUUGGAGGCACUGGAUAAUUUCCAUUCAUCUCUGUCUAAAACUUUUCUCCUUCUUUUGAGUAAUUGGAGGGAAAGAGAGAGGAAAAUCUUAGCCCGCCUGUCCUACCUCGAAGCUUCCAUUCAUCAGUCGGCUGUAGACGCCACUUGGCCAUAAAAUUGAAAAAUGCAGCCCAUGUCAGCACUUGCAUAUUUAUACCCAGCAUACUGAAAAUAAAUACAUAAAAUUCUAAUACGUCAGGUGUUACGUUGUGAGAGGGGGGAGAGGGGUAGCCAGAACCAUUCUCGUACGACUUGUGCCUACUUCAGCUGUGUCUGAAGAUGGGAAGGUGAGUCGCCGAGUCAUGAGGACAGUGUGUGUCGCCAUCUGUCUUUCAAAUCUGCUGUCCAAGAUGGCUCAUAGAGUUCAGGACAACCAAGCUCUCGUUGGGGACAGGAGCCAGGUGUGAUGGAAAGACAGAAGCUUGAUAGCACAGAAUAGAGUGUUAUGUCAUGCCUGCCAGUGCACAGGAAUGUCCCCAAUGAUACAAGAUCAACUCUGGUGGUGCUAGGUAUCAAAUUAAAGUUGUCUCUUCAUUGAUACAGCCAUAGUUCCUAUGCCAAGUCCGUGACAAUCCAGUAAGGAACGGGCUAGAAUCCUAUCCUGCCUCAGGCUCCCACAGGUCUUCUUUGAACAAGAAAUCAGCAGACAAUCACGUCUGAGGCAAAAGAGGACUUAGACAGCUAUCCUAACCACCUCAUGCCUGAAGCUCUCCUCUUCCUCUGUAGGAUUGGUUACAGGGAAGGUUGGGGGAUCAUACAGCCCCACCUUGCUCCCCCAGAGUGAAAUCGCAACUCAGCUCCUGAGGGUGAUGAGUUAGCGAGACCUGGGAGUUCUCACCUACAAAAGAGGAGCCAACUGAAUCCUUGAGCGCCUGCUCUAUGUGCGAUCGCAUUUGGUUGGCCAUCUGGCACGCAUGCGCUCUUGAGAAAUGUUGGUGCUUGUUUCCUUUUCGUUUCCCGUGGGUUCUGAUCUCAGUAAGAGAAAUGGCAGAGAUCACACAGGCCUCGACAUCGCUGAAGGUGGCAACCCCUUCUUCUUAAAACUCAAAAUGCAUUUUGAAGUGUAUAACACAGUGUUCAUAUGGGAUGGCAGCGCUCGGGUGUACUCGAUCUAUGGGUUUGAAUAAAUGAACCCCACUUGAUGCAUCUCCAUGUGCUGCACCCGAACAGACUGCUGAGCCCCGGGGAUCCGUGUACAUGGGUACAGAUGCCAAUACCACCCAACAUGCCAGAAACAGCCCUGAUACUACCUGAGGUUCCCUGAAAAGCAGAGAGUCAUCAGGACAAAGGUGAAGUGUCACUGUUGUCAUGUAAGACACCCUUGACAGGCCCGUGAGUCCAAGCUUCUGGGCUUGUUUGGGAAAUGGAGCCUCCUCUUUAGAAGGGAAGGGGUCACUGAGAUGGGCAUGCUAGCCACUCAGUGAUGUACUAAGAUCUGACCAAGAAGCUGCCAUUCAUUCCUGACACCACAGAGCCCCUUGCCACCAUGAUGGACUUUAUCCCACAGUCAGUCAGUCAAAAUAAACUUCAGCUCUGUCUUAAGAGUUUCUAUUCGUGAAAUAAAUACCACGACCAAGAGCAACUUGGGGAGGAAAGAGAUUACUUGAGCUUACAGGUUACACUCCAGCUUCCAGCGAAGUCAGGAAAGGAACGCAAGGCACGAGCUGAAGCAGAAGCUAGGAAGGAGUGCUGCUUACUUGCUUGCUCCCCAUGGCUUGCUCAUCCUGCUUUCUAGGACAGUGAAAGCCUUUCUAGGGAUGGCACCACCCUCAGUGGCCUGGGCCUUUGUGCAUCAAUCAUUAAACAAGAAAAAAGCCUUCAUAGGCUUGGCUAUAGUCAAUUUGGUGCAGGCAUUUUCUCAGUUGAUGGUCACAUCUCUCAGAUUACUCCAGCUUGGGUUAAGUUGACCAGAAAAGAAAGAAAGAAAGAAAGAAAGAAAGAAAGGAAGAGAGAGAGAGAGAGAGAGAAAGGAAGGAAGAAAGAAAGGAAGGAAGGAGGAAGGAAGGAAGGAGAGAGAGAGAGAGAGAGAGAGAGAGAGAGAGAGAAAAGAAAAAACUCUCUGGGGUUGGGGAUUUAGCUCACUGGUAGAGCGCUUGCCUAGCAAGUACAAGGCCCUGGGUUCGGUCCUCAGCUCCGGGGGAAAAAAAAAAGAAAAAGAAAAAGAAAAAAACUCUCCAACGAUCCUUCUCCAGGAUUUGGUCAUGACAGCCAGAAAAGCAGCUAAUAAACAAGAACCUACAGAUCUUCUGACUGAGGACUAUCGCUCCCUUGAGGAUACAAGAAGCACCGUGUACAUGCGGAACUGGAGAAUUCCCCCCACUGCAACUCAGUCAUCUACAGUCCCCACAGCGGUUCCAACGUCUUCAUCCAGACCUCUGGGGAGGAUCUCAGCUGUGGGUGUGCACACUCCUUGCUAACACUGCUUUGCCUUAAGUCCUGGGUCAGCGUCCCCCAGCCUUGCAACCUUGUGCAAGCUGUCCAUCUCGGUGUGGUCUUUAGUCUUGUCACCCAUGAAGUGGGAUUGAGAUUGGGUGGGGAUGACCCAGCUCAUCACUGGAUUCACUUAGAGUAGGUUAGCGGGAAUUAAAUGAGAAAAAAAAAAGAUGUGGAAGAUCCUUCUGCAAAUAUCACCGAUGUCUUUCUCUCACUCAGGACACUGAGUGGGUGCUCUGAGGACGCCGUAGAUUUGGAGUGGAGGUGCAUGUGCGCAUGCGUGAAGAGUCUGGAGGACAACCUUGGUGUGUUCUCAGGAUGGCAUCCACUGACAUCUGGAUCAAGAGGCAGCAGCAGAGAGAGACGCUGGGCCUGGUAUUUUUAUUUUUACAUUUUCGCGGCGCUUUUUGAAGAUGCGCAUUUUGCUGCUGCCAGAUAAUGUCUUGCAUGACCUCAGAAAGCUCUGUGUGUUGAUGAUACUGGGUUCCUCUAUAGUCUUCUUUUCUGUCUGGUUGGUUGGUAAGGGGGAUUGUUGACAUUUCAUGGUAAUGCUGUUUUAAGUAAGAAAGGCCCCAACAGGCCCCUGUAUUUGAGCCUUUGGUCAUUAGAGAGUGGUGAUGCUUCACAGGGAUUAGGAGGUGUGGCCUCAUCGAAGUGGGUGUGGCCCUUUUGGAGUGGGUGCGGCCUUUUGGAGUGGGUGUGGCCUGAAGUCGGCAUGGUUUUGUUGGAGUAGGUGUGGCCGCCUUGAAGUAGGUGUGGUUUUGUUGGAGUAGGUGUGGCCUUGCUGGAGGAAAUGAGUCGUUAAGGGUUGUAAAUGCUCAUGCCAGGCCCAGUGUCUCUUUCCUGAUGCCUGCUGAUCCAGAUGUGGAGCUCUCUGCUACCUCUUCAGCAUCAUGUCUGCUUGUGUGAUGAUGUCACACUUCCUACCUUGGUGAGAAUGGACUGAACCUCGGAACCUGCUAGCUAGCUCAACGGCAUUAGAACACUGGCUACAGCAACGGUCAUCAGCACGAGCCUUGUUUUUUUUUAUUUUCAUUCUAAUUUUAUUUUUAUUUUUGAGGCCGUUUCUUUCCUUGGCCAGGAACUUUUGUGAGCCCCAGGGAUCUACCCACUUGGGAUUAUAAAUACGUGCUACUAAUACUGGAUUCUUUACACGGGUUCUAGGGAUCAGCCUUGGGUCUUCGGAAUUUCACACCGCGCAUGUAACCUACUGAGUCACCUCCCCAGUCCCAAAGUAGAUUUUCAGCAGGUUAUUGAAGGGUCUGGGCAUGUCUGCAGCAGGACUUAUCUGUCUUCCCUAGAACUGACUCAAGAAAAACAACAGAGAAAGAAGUCGAUUCCUAGGAAGAAAGCUAGCAAAGGGAGGCUGGCUUCAUCAGACUUCCGCGGCAAGGCAGCCGGACUCGAAGUGUCAGCAGUAUUGGGGAUCCAUUAAGUACCAUCCAGAUGAUGGGGUUUCUUUCAUUCCAAGUCAAUUUUAAGUAAAAAAUAUUUUUACACAAAGCAUAGUAAUUUAUGCAGCAACCAGUCUAUAAUGAGCAGGUUCAAUAACGGAUAAUUAUAUGGAAAGCACUUAAAUCCUAACUAUGUACUUUUAAAAUGUUGCAAAAGUGGGUCCAUAAUUAAAUUAUAAUUACAAGUAAAAAAUCUACACAAUGAUUAUUCCCUGAGAAGUUUUCUCAGUCUCGUUUCCAGGCCCACAGACAGCUUCUCACACCCCGAUACAUUCCUUUGUUGGAGGCUCCACUCUGAUCCGUUCGUUUUGCAUGAUGGAUUUUAAAUUUAAAAUUAACUAAAAUUAUCUUUCCAAUUACUAAUUACCAUAUACAAUGAUUUCAAAUGAAGAGUCAGGUUGCCAUUAAAAAAUGAGUUUGUGAGCUCAUAAGUUUGAAAGUUUGGAAGAUUUAGCGUGUAAAGAGCAUUAGAUGAUCAUCUAAUAGAAAUUAAACUACACACAAAGGCUGAGAGAGGUUUCAAAAUGAGUUAUUAAGUAUGUAUGUGGAGGAAUACAGCAGUACUGAGGGGGUAAAGUCACAGAAAUUUCUAGAACUCUCUGUUCUGCUUAUAGUGUAUUUAGUUUCUAGGGAUACAACACAGCUCAGCUGUAUAAAAGAAAAUGAGAUAUUUAUUGGUUCAUAAACCUAAAGACUCUGUGUGUGUGUGUGUGUGUGUGUGUGUGUGUGUGUGUGUGUAAGACAUUCGAGGGUGAGUGGAUCCAGAUCUGAAGUGGCUUCACUGAGAGGUCUGCCUGACUGUUCUGUGAGAUCCCUUUUUUCUUUUCUUCUCACAGACUCUGCAGGAUGGAAAUUUCCCUGACAGAACCUGUGUCCUCAAAGCUGAAGAAGCCCAGUGAUUUAUUCCAGCAACGGCUGGCUCAUAGGUCUCUCAGGUCAGAAUCUCACUGGUUCAACAAGAGUCUACAUUUCCUUCUCUGCACCAACGUCUUUGGUAAACAGUCUCUCCUCUUCCAGUUUCUCCCCAUUCUGCUUCAGAAUGAAUACUCUCAUCAUGUGCAAUUUGUGUGUUUCAAGUCUUGACUGGCAUAUUUCAACUACACAUGAGAGACAUCUAGAUUGUUUCCAACUUCUGGCUAUUACAAACAAGACUGCUAUAAACUCAGUGGAGCAUGUGUCUUGUGGAAUAGCAGCCGUGUCAACUAACCCAGACCCCUCAGAGUUCCCAGAGACUACACCAAGGAGCAUACAUGGGCUGGAUCGUGCCCACCCUCCCAACCCAGCCCCCUCUGGCACAUGUACAGCAGAGGACUGCCUUCUAUGCCUCAGUGGAAGAGGAUGUGCUUAGUCCCAUGGAAGCUUGAUAUCCCAGGGGAAAGAGAUGCUGGUAGGGAUGAGGUGGGGGUAGGUAGGUGGAUGAGG